AUUGAACGCUGGCGGCAGGCCUAACACAUGCAAGUCGAACGAGUGGCGGACGGGUGAGUAAUGUCUGGGAAACUGCCUGAUGGAGGGGGAUAACUACUGGAAACGGUAGCUAAUACCGCAUACCAUCAGAUGUGCCCCGAGGGGAUUAGCUAGGUGGUGGGGUAACGGCUCACCAAGGCGACGAUCCCUAGCUGGGCUGAGAGGAUGACAGGCCACACGGGAACUGAGACACGGCCCAGACUCCUACGUGAGGCGGCAGUGGGGAAUAUUGCACAAUGGGCGCAAGCAUGAUGCAGCCAUGCCGCGUGUAUGAAGAAGGCCUUCGGGGUGUAAAGUACUUUCAGCGGGGAGGCGUUACCCGCAGAAGAAGCACCGGCUAACUCCGUGCCAGCAGCCGCGGCAAUAC
rnacentral:rRNA from 1 species